rnacentral:rRNA from 1 species
UACAGAGGUCCCAAGCGUUGUUCGGAAUUACUGGGCGUAAAGGGCUCGUAGGCGGUUUGUCGCGUCGGGAGUGAAAUCCACUGGCUUAACUGGUGGCUUGCUUUCGAUACGGGCAGACUGGAGGUAUGCAGGGGAGAACGGAAUUCCUGGUGUAGCGGUGAAAUGCGCAGAUAUCAGGAGGAACACCGGUGGCGAAGGCGGUUCUCUGGGCAUGUCCUGACGCUGAGGAGCGAAAGUGUGGGGAGCGAACAGG